ACACAAAUGUGUUGAAAGAUUACUCAAGUUUAAACUUUUAGUACUCAACUGACUAGGUAACAGGUCUAGAAGGAUUAGAAACAACAACCAACAGAUGUUCUAGGCCAAUAUUCAUUGUGAUGUGAGAUGGUAUGGAACAAAAUAACAAAGUAGCACCUAAAACCACUUUGGAAUUUUACAACCCUGAUAUAAUAAAAUAAGCAUAUGCUUUGGUCACCAACAGAAGGGAGCACCACAGAGUUUUUCCAAUGCCAGAUUUACCGUUGUGUAAAUGGUGCAGUUGAACCGGGCCCAAUUUGCAGUACUGUAUAUGAAGAUUAGUCUAACAUAAAACUUACUUUCUUCGCCAUCACCUUAUAAAAACAAUAAACUACUGAACUGAUAUUAGACUGGAAGAAUGGCAGGAACCACAUGAUUGCUCUAUAAAAAACAUUGUGCCUCCUUUGAAAGCCUGACUAACCUUUGUUAAAUACUAAUACCUAUGUGUAUCAGACUUAACGGCUUUUCUUCACUCGACUAUUAUUUCAUCAGACUUGUCACUGCUAAAGUAAAAUUAAUGCCCUAAUCACAAACCAAGGCAAUAACUAAGAUGUCUGAGUCUUUCCAGUUGACACAGAAUUAAUUUAACCGAAGAAUCAAUGAAGUACAUCAAUCAUAUUACUUUGAGAAGAUUUUAUGCUUGCCUAUUAAGCUCGGAAUAGAUCAUCAGUUAUCAUUUUCAGAUGUUUUCCAUAUUUAAGUUCUCUAAUAUUAACCUAAUUAAAAUCCUUUGUAUUUUAUUGAAACAGUA